rnacentral:misc_RNA from 1 species
UCACCCACGCCCCCACCCAACUUGAGCCUUUGACGCACACCAAACAGCCGUUUAAGGGCUUGUUCGGUUAUUCCCAAUACACAUGGAUUGGAUGGGAUUGGAAAAAAUUGAGAAGAAGUUUGACUUGUUUGGGAUUCAAACUCAUCCAAUCCCACACAAUCCACAUGGAUUUAGAGCUAACCGAACAAGCCCUAACUAAACUACUCAUUUUCCCUCCCGUCCAAAUUUACUCCGCCUCGCCUUCUCCUUGCCCCAGCUUUGUAUAUAAACAAACGCUCGUAACUCACCCACACCCACAUAGUAUUCGACAGGCUCACAAUUCCAGCUCAGGCCACCAGCAAGCACAUCGCAAAGGAGAACAGAACAGAACAGAGAGCCAUGGCGGCGGUCGCCGUGAGCGGGAGGCUGCGGACGCUGGGGCGCGGCGCGUCGGGCGCCGUGGUGUCGCUGGCGUGGGACGCCGCGUCGGGGGAGCUGGUCGCGGUCAAGUCGGCCGGCGCGAGCGGCGCGGCGGCGCUCAGGCGGGAGCACGCGGUGCUGGCCGGGCUGCGCUCGCCGCACGUCGUGCGCUGCUUCGGCGGCGGCGAGGCGGCGGAGGCGGCGGAGGAGGGGUCGUCGUACCAGCUCUUCCUCGAGUACGCCCCCGGCGGGUCGCUCGCCGACGAGGUGGCCCGGAGCGGGGGCUCCCUCGGGGAGCGCGCCGUCCGCGCGUUCGCAGCCGACGUGCUGCGGGGGCUGGCGUACCUCCACGCCCGCUCCGUCGUGCACGGCGACGUCAAGGCGCGGAACGUGCUGGUCGGCGCCGGAGGCCGCGCCAUGCUCGCCGACUUCGGCUGCGCCAGGGCGCUGUCCGGCUCCGGCUCCGGCUCCGCGCGCCGGCCGAUCGUCGGCGCCACGCCGGCGUUCAUGGCGCCCGAGGUGGCUCGCGGGGAGGACCAGGGCCCCCCCGCCGACGUCUGGGCGCUCGGCUGCACCGUCGUCGAGAUGGCCACCGGCCGCGCCCCGUUCGGCGGCAUGGGUGGCGCUGGCGGCGCCCUCGCGGCGGUCCACCGGAUCGCGUACACGGACGCCGUGCCGGAGGUGCCGGCCUGGCUGUCGCCGGAGGCCGGGGACUUCCUGGCCCGCUGCUUCGCCAGAGACGCCGCCGACCGGUGGACCGCCGCGCGGCUCCUGGAGCACCCGUUCGUGGCGUUGGCCCGCCACGACGACAAGGCCCCGCGGCCGUCUCCCAAGAGCGCUCUGGACGCCGCGUUCUGGGAGUCCGAAACAGAGUGCGAGGACGAAGCGGACGAUGCGUCAGGGAGCGCGUCGGAGAGGAUCGAGUCACUGGCGUGCUCCGCCGGGGCCUUGCCCGACUGGGACGGCGAGGGCGGAUGGAUCGACGUGCUCGGCGAGCACUGCGGCGCGCCAGGCAAAGCGUCCAGCGUCCUGGUGGCGGUGCCAGGUGGGGAGAUGGAUGUCGGCGGCGGCGGUCUACCCAGUGAUGAUGGGCUGGAAGCAGAGGACGUGCCGUUCGGUGGCGGCGGUGUUCCAGUUCCAGUUCCAGCAGCUGAUGCUUCGGCUGGGCGCCAUGAGAAACACUGUUCGAGUUCCGACUGUCAUGCGCUCUCCUGUCAGCUAGUACCUUGUAAUCUAGUCUUUAAUGCAAUAAAGUUAUGGGUUCCCACAAAUUUUCG